AGCGGAGGAAAAGAAACCAACAGGGAUUGCCCCAGUAAUGGCGAAUGAAGCGGCAAGAGCCCAAAUUUGAAAUCGGGCAACCGAGUUGUAAUUUGGAGACGGGACACUAGAGAGGAGGAAGGCGAUUAAGUGCCUUGGAACAGGCUGCCGUAGAGGGUGAGAGCCCCGUGAAUCGCUGGAGACCGAUCAAUUAGUGCCCGCCGAAGAGUCGAGUUGUUUGGGAAUGCAGCUCUAAGUGGGUGGUAUAUUCCAUCUAAGGCUAAAUAUUAGCGAGAGACCGAUAGCAAACAAGUACAGUGAUGGAAAGAUGAAAAGAACUUUGGAAAGAGAGUGAAAUAGUACGUGAAAUUGUUGAAAGGGAAGGGUAUUUGAUCCGACAUGGUGUUUAGCAGCGGCCCGUUCCUCGUGGAUGGGUGCACCUGGUUUACACUGGGCCAGCAUCGGUUCUGGGAGCCAUAUACGGGGUUCGUGAAUGUGGCCCUUCGAUUCUGUCGGAGGGUGUUAUAGCGCGGACAUCUUGUGGCUAGCCGGGACCGGGGACUGCGGUGACUUGUCACCAAGGAUGCUGGCAGAACGAGCAAAUACCACCCGUCU
rnacentral:rRNA from 1 species